rnacentral:lncRNA from 1 species
UGUCGUUAUACUUCAUGCAUUUUGUUUAGUUGUCCUUGUAUGAUAUCAACGAGAACGUAACACCACUGAAAUUAAAGCUGAUUUUACUCACCUAUAGUUAAAAAAAAAAGAUGAUAAGGCGUUUGUGUAUUGCUUUUUAAUGUUGACGUAGAAGUGAGAAGUAGUUAAAAUACAGGUUCUUGCCCGGUUGGAGAGGUAGUGAAUGAUCAGAUCUACUCUGACAUUGUUUGGUUGAUUUUCUAUUAAACUGAGAAUACAAAUGGGGAAUAUGCCAAAGACACAACAACCCGCCCAAAGUGCAGACAACGCCUAUUAAUAUUAUGCCUAUUAUAUAGUAUAUCCAAGUAGUCGGAGUUCGAAUCAAAGCUAGGGAAGAACGUCUUUUUUUAAUGAUAAUUGAAUCAUGUUUAUAUAUUCAUCAAUAAAUUGUGUUAACAACUUGCUUAAAAACAAAUUAUUCCAAUACAAAGAAAUCAAUAUUUU